rnacentral:misc_RNA from 1 species
UUUCCGUAGGUGAACCUGCGGAAGGAUCAUUACCGAGUGAGGGCCCUCUGGGUCCAACCUCCCACCCGUGUUUAUCGUACCUUGUUGCUUCGGCGGGCCCGCCUCACGGCCGCCGGGGGGCACCCGCCCCCGGGCCCGCGCCUGCCCAAGACACCAUUGAACGCUGUCUGAAGAUUGCAGUCUGAGCAUCUUAGCUAAAUCAGUUAAAACUUUCAACAACGGAUCUCUUGGUUCCG